CCCUUAGACGUUCUGGGCCGCACGCGCGCUACACUGACGGAGCCAGCGAGUAUAAACCUUGGCCGAGAGGUCUGGGAAAUCUUGUGAAACUCCGUCGUGCUGGGGAUAGAGCAUUGUAAUUAUUGCUCUUCAACGAGGAAUUCCUAGUAAGCGCAAGUCAUCAGCUUGCGUUGAUUACGUCCCUGCCCUUUGUGCACACCGCCCGUCGCUACUACCGAUUGAAUGGCUUAGUGAGGCUUCCGGAUUGGUUUAGAGAAGGGGGCAACUCCAUCUUGGAACCGAGAAGCUAGUCAAACUUGGUCAUUUAGAGGAAGUAAAAGUCGUAACA
rnacentral:rRNA from 1 species